rnacentral:rRNA from 1 species
UACAGAGGUCCCAAGCGUUGUUCGGAUUCACUGGGCGUAAAGGGUGCGUAGGUGGUGGGGUAAGUCGGAUGUGAAAUCUCCGAGCUCAACUCGGAAACUGCAUUGGAAACUACCCUGCUAGAGGGUCGGAGGGGGGACUGGAAUACUUGGUGUAGCAGUGAAAUGCGUAGAUAUCAAGUGGAACACCAGUGGCGAAGGCGAGUCCCUGGACGACUCCUGACACUGAGGCACGAAAGCCAAGGGAGCAAACAGG